GGCUGAGAUUAUCAAUCUUUAUGAUUUUAGCUGAGAUCAUAAAGAUUGAUAAUCUCAGCA
rnacentral:miRNA from 1 species